GAGCGCAGACGUUUAUUAAGUCUGAUGUGAAAGCCCGGAGCUCAACUCCGGAAUGGCAUUGGAAACUGGUUAACUUGAGUGCAGUAGAGGUAAGUGGAACUCCAUGUGUAGCGGUGGAAUGCGUAGAUAUAUGGAAGAACACCAGUGGCGAAGGCGGCUUACUGGACUGCAACUGACGUUGAGGCUCGAAAGUGUGGGUAGCAAACAGGAUUAGAUACCCUGGUAGUCCACACCGUAAACGAUGAACACUAGGUGUUAGGAGGUUUCCGCCUCUUAGUGCCGAAGCUAACGCAUUAAGUGUUCCGCCUGGGGAGUACGACCGCAAGGUUGAAACUCAAAGGAAUUGACGGGGACCCGCACAAGCGGUGGAGCAUGUGGUUUAAUUCGAAGCAACGCGAAGAACCUUACCAGGUCUUGACAUCCUUUGAAGCUUUUAGAGAUAGAAGUGUUCUCUUCGGAGACAAAGUGACAGGUGGUGCAUGGUCGUCGUCAGCUCGUGUCGUGAGAUGUUGGGUUAAGUCCCGCAACGAGCGCAACCCUUAUUGUUAGUUGCCAGCAUUCAGAUGGGCACUCUAGCGAGACUGCCGGUGACAAACCGGAGGAAGGCGGGGACGACGUCAGAUCAUCAUGCCCCUUAUGACCUGGGCUACACACGUGCUACAAUGGCGUAUACAACGAGUUGCCAGCCCGCGAGGGUGAGCUAAUCUCUUAAAGUACGUCUCAGUUCGGAUUGUAGUCUGCAACUCGACUACAUGAAGUCGGAAUCGCUAGUAAUCGCGGAUCAGCACGCCGCGAUGAAUACGUUCCCGGGUCUUGUACACACCGCCCGUCACACCAUGGGAGUUUGUAAUGCCCAAAG
rnacentral:rRNA from 1 species